UACGAAGGGUGCAAGCGUUAAUCGGAAUUACUGGGCGUAAAGCGUGCGUAGGUGGUUUGUUAAGUCUGCUGUGAAAGCCCUGGGCUCAACCUGGGAAUGGCGGUGGAUACUGACAAGCUAGAGUGCGGUAGAGGAGGGUGGAAUUCCCGGUGUAGCGGUGAAAUGCGUAGAGAUCGGGAGGAACAUCAGUGGCGAAGGCGGCCCUCUGGACCAGCACUGACGCUGAGGCACGAAAGCGUGGGGAGCAACCAGG
rnacentral:rRNA from 1 species